rnacentral:lncRNA from 1 species
UCAUUCUGGACUUCCACACAUUCUUUGAUUCAAGCUCACCCAUGCCCGGGUUAAGAGCUAUGAGGCAUAACCCUCAUCUCCAUUUCAUCUGCUCACCCUAACUCUCAAUGUUAGAGGUUAAGAGCCUGACUACCCAUUCCCGUAUUUGGCUUGUUUGUCAAGGUCGAUAUGACCCCUUGACUAAAGCCCAACCUUGCUUGAGCCUAUUGGUUGUGUAUAGUGUGUGAUAAUUGACUGUUUG